UGGGGAAUAUUGGGCAAUGGGCGCAAGCCUGACCCAGCAACGCCGCGUGAAGGAAGAAGGCUUUCGGGUUGUAAACUUCUUUUGUCGGGGACGAAGCAAGUGACGGUACCUGACGAAUAAGCUCCGGCUAACUACGUGCCAGCAGCCGCGGUAAUACGUAGGGAGCAAGCGUUAUCCGGAUUUACUGGGUGUAAAGGGCGUGUAGGCGGGAUUGUAAGUCAGAUGUGAAAACCAGGGGCUCAACCUCUGGCCUGCAUUUGAAACUGCAGUUCUUGAGUACUGGAGAGGCAGACGGAAUUCCUAGUGUAGCGGUGAAAUGCGUAGAUAUUAGGAGGAACACCAGUGGCGAAGGCGGUCUGCUGGACAGCAACUGACGCUGAGGCGCGAAAGCGUGGGGAGCAAACA
rnacentral:rRNA from 1 species